UGAUGACCUGGGCCUGUAGUUACUUUAUCC
rnacentral:piRNA from 1 species